GCGCGAGUAGCUCAGGUGGAUAGAGCGUCGGCCUCCGGAGCCGAAGGUCGUGGGUUCGAGUCCCGCCUCGCGCG
rnacentral:tRNA from 1 species